rnacentral:rRNA from 1 species
UACGUAGGGCCCGAGCGUUAUCCGGAAUUAUUGGGCGUAAAGAGCGUGUAGGUGUUCAUACAAGUCGGUCGUUAAAUCUCACUGCUCAACAGUGAGGCUGCGAGCGAAACUGUAUGAAUUGAGGUUUGCAGGGGCUAGUAGAAUUCUUGGAGUAGAGGUGAUAUUCGUUGAUACCAAGAGGAAUACCAAUGGCGAAAGGCAGCUAGCUGGGCAAUACCUGACACUGAGUACGCGAAAGCGUGGGGAGCAAACGGG